rnacentral:lncRNA from 1 species
CGUCAAUCAUGGAAAAUACCUAUUUCUAGAAAACUGCUACCCAGAUGCCCCUUAAAGAAAACAAACUGACACCGAGAAGAUUUAAACUAAGGACUAUAAAGUAAAGCAAAUUAGUUACACCUUUGGCCUUCCUUAUUUAAGCCAGCCACAAGAAAUUCAAGUUAACACAGAGUUGUAUAAAUCUGAUUUGUUAUCUUUGCCCACACAUUCAACGUAGUUUAUGAAAGUGAGCCAAUUCUGUUAUGAAAGUUCAGAUCAUAUUUUGGGCUUCCUAAUUUCCUAAAAACUACGAAUACAGCUAAGGUGCUGGCGGUAGCCAUCCAAGAGGGUCACCAUCUCUCUCACUCCUCAUGCGACUAUACCUCGGUCACCUGCCUGUUAUAAACCACCACACACCUGUCAGAUGUGCCCAUUAUUUAAGGCUGUAUUUCUUAACCCACUGCAGUCUUGCUAAGGAAGUAUGUGAAUAAAAUAAAGAGUGUGAUUUCCUCUACUUACCCACCCCACCAAGGCUGCAUUAAAUAGGCCAAUUCCAGCUUCCCUUCGCCAAUCGCUGGCACUCUCAUAAAGAUUGAUUUGCGGUUUUUUGUUGUUUUCUGUUUAUUUGUUUUACUAUAAGGAGGAUGAGAACCUCAAAAUGUUUCCUAAAGGGAUGGCUGGAGUUUAAAAAUGCUUAAGGAAUUUGCCACCCGGUGAAGUUUGGCACACUCUGAAAUAUCCGCAUAGGGGUGUACGCUAGGUGUCUGGCUGGCGAUUGCACAGGGGAGGUUUUGAAGAAACUGAACUCCAAUGAGCACGGGCAGGCGUGAGUGGGGGAGGGAAGAAUUGAUCGUGUGAGAGAAGAAAGGCAUUGGCGUCUGCAGCGCACAUCCUAAGGCUCCAGAGUUGCUAACUCCUCUUCCCUGACCACCUCCUUGCUGGAAACCAGAAGACAGAGAAAUAUCAGCGAGGUUCGCUCUGGGAUGAAGGCAGCCGUGCUGGCCUCACCCGCUGGCCUGGAAACCUGACUAGGGGGCCGGCCGCGAGAUCCCUCUCUCCCCCUGGUUCCGCAGGAAGAAGAAUCUGUAAAGGGCUGUUGGAACUGAUAUACUCUAAUUAUGGGAUUUCAAAGAAAAGGUACCAUAAAUAUGUUUCUAACAUGAUUACAUAGUAUUAAAAUGGCUAGAAAAUAAUUUAUAUUCUUAUUUUUUUGUUUUAAAAAUCAAUCUUCAAUGAAAAAAGAGGUAUCAUGUUAUAUUAAGGAAUGGAGGGCUAUUUGUGUGUGUGUGUGUAUGUGUAUGUGUGUAUGCAUUUCUGAGUUGUGGCUGUUUCAAAAAGAAAUACAGAAAGAAAAAUAGUUCAGGUAAG